rnacentral:rRNA from 1 species
AGUGAACGCUGGCGGUAGGCCUAACACAUGCAAGUCGAACGGCAGCACAGUAAGAGCUUGCUCUUACGGGUGGCGAGUGGCGGACGGGUGAGGAAUACAUCGGAAUCUACUUUUUCGUGGGGGAUAACGUAGGGAAACUUACGCUAAUACCGCAUACGACCUACGGGUGAAAGCAGGGGACCUUCGGACCUUGCGCGAUUGAAUGAGCCGAUGUCGGAUUAGCUAGUUGGCGGGGUAAAGGCCCACCAAGGCGACGAUCCGUAGCUGGUCUGAGAGGAUGAUCAGCCACACUGGAACUGAGACACGGUCCAGACUCCUACGGGAGGCAGCAGUGGGGAAUAUUGGACAAUGGGCGCAAGCCUGAUCCAGCCAUACCGCGUGGGUGAAGAAGGCCUUCGGGUUGUAGAGCCCUUUUGUUGGGAAAGAAAAGCAGCAGGUUAAUACCCCGCUGUUCUGACGGUACCCGAAGAAUAAGCACCGGCUAACUUCGUG